UACGGGGGGGGCAAGCGUUGUUCGGAAUUACUGGGCGUAAAGGGCUCGUAGGUGGCCAACUAAGUCAGACGUGAAAUCCCCAGGCUUAACCUGGGAACUGCGUCUGAUACUGGAUGGCUUGAAUUCGGGAGAGGGAUGCGGAAUUCCAGGUGUAGCGGUGAAAUGCGUAGAUAUCUGGAGGAACACCGGUGGCGAAGGCGGCAUCCUGGACCGAUACUGACGCUGAGGAGCGAAAGCCAGGGGAGCAAACGGG
rnacentral:rRNA from 1 species